CUAAAUAAUAGUUAUUUCCUAAAACCUUAAAUGAGGGAGUAAGAUUCAUUAAGCCUGAUUUGAAUGCAUCCAGAGGUGGAAAGAAAUAUUUUGUUUGACAAAAUAGAAACCCAGAGGAAUUAUUAUCCACUGGAAUAGAAUUAUAAAACAAAUAGAAGUCCGUACACCUGGUAUGAACUCUGGGUUGUUUAAAACACGUUCUACAGAGUGAAUGUUGACUAUCGCAUGGAGUUGAAAGCAAAGGGGAGAAAGUCUGAGUCAUGUGGAAAAGUUUUGAACACACCAAUUACUUCUGAAAGGGAUACAAAGGAAACGGAGCAUCCUUGGCCCUGAGAAGAGCAGCAGGAUUGAGUUCUAAGGAUGGACACAUGGAUGGUGAUUUCAUCAGAGAGAGAGAGAAAAGAAGACACUUGAAGCACUUUCCCAGAAUAAAACACAGUGGUUGCAGAGAAGAGGAGGAGCCAGGUGGGAUUCAGAGCUGCCAGACAACGCUCCUCUUUGAUGGCUACUAUCAGAGGAAAAUGGCAGCCAGAAAAAUCCAGCAGGACAUUUCUAGCCUUGCC
rnacentral:lncRNA from 1 species